UGGACGAGAGCCUGAACCAGCCAAGUCGCGUGAGGGAAGACGGUCCUAUGGAUUGUAAACCUCUUUUGCCGGGGAGCAAAGAGCGGCACGUGUGCCGCGCCGAGAGUACCCGGAGAAAAGCAUCGGCUAACUCCGUGCC
rnacentral:rRNA from 1 species